UCUAGGGCCAUACCACCCUGAACGUGCCCGAUCUCGUCUCAUCUCGGAAGCUAAGCAGGGUCGGGUCUGGUUAGUACUUGGAUGGGAGAAUUCAUACAUUGAUGUGCAUUUAGUGGAAAAGUAAGCUGUUAAAA
rnacentral:rRNA from 1 species